UACCAAUAGCUACAUUUUCUUCUUGGACGGCCAAGCCCUCAGAUGUCUGUGUCAGAAGUUAUGCGAGGAACCAAGUUCCUUACCCUGUUUGAGAAAAUGUAAAAUUUUACUCAUUUUUUACCCAUUUUUUGCCUAUAACUCGGUCGGUAUCUAACGGAUCGCCAAUCUUUAACUUGUGGUCGAUAGAUGGCACCAAUGGCUACAUUUUCUUCUUGGACGGCCAUGCCCUCAGAUGUCUGUGUCAGAAGUUAUUCGAGGAACCAAGUUCCUUACCCUGUUUGAGAAAAUGUAAAAUUUUCCUCAUUUUUGCACCAACUUUUGCCUAUAACUUGAUCUACAUCCAACGGAUCGCCAAUCUUUAACCUGUGGUCGAUAGAUGGCACCAAUGGCUACAUUUUCUUCUUGGACGGCCAUGCCCUCAGAUGUCUGUGCCAAAAGUUAUGCGAGGAACCAAGUUGCUUACCCUGUUUAAGAAAAUGUAAAAUUUUCAUCAUUUUUCUGCAAUUCAGCAAAAUUUUUAAAUGUGAUAUAUUUUAUCGCUAAUUUGUUGCAAUAAGUUUCUUUUCACUCAAAUAAUGCUUUAAAUUAAAAAAAGAAUAAAAAAUCAGAAAAAAUUUCAAAAAAAUUUUCAACUCGAAAAUUUCAUAAGGGGUACCCCUUGCCAUUUUUUUGAGAAAUUUUGAAAAAAAAUAAAAUUGAUUUAUUUUAAUGCCAAUUGGUUCAAAAAAGUUUGUUUUCACUCAAAUAAUGCUUUAAAUAAAAAACAGAAGAAAAAAUUAUAACAAAAACAAAAAAAAAUAAAAAUUAGAAAAUUGCAUAAGGCUCAUUUUUGCCCCAAGUUUUGGCUAUAACUCGGUCGGUAUCCAACGGAUCGCCAAUCUUUAACCUGUGGUCGAUAGAUGACACCAAUGGCUACAUUUUCUUCUUGGACGGCCAUGCCUUCAGAUGUCUGUGCCAGAAGUUAUGCGAGGAACCAAGUUCCUUACCCUGUUUGAGAAAAUGUAAAAUUUUCCUCAUUUUUGCACAAAAUUUUGCAUAUAACUCGGGCGGUAUCGAACGGAUCGCCAAUCUUUAGCCUGUGGUCGAUAGAUGGCACCAAUGGCUACAUUUUCUUCUUGGACGGCCAUGCUCUGAGAUGUCUGUGUCGGAAGUUAUUCGAGGAACCAAGUUCCAUACCCUGUUUGAGAAUAUGUAAAAUUUUCCUCAUUUUUGCACCAAAUUUUGCCUAUUACUCGGGCGGUAUCGAACGGAUCGCCAAUCUUUAACCUGUGGUCGAUAGAUGGCACCAAUGGCUACAUUUUCUUCUUGGACGGCAAUACCCUCAGAUGUGUGUGUCGGAAGUUUUUCGGGGAACCAAGUUCCAUACCCUGUUUGAGGAAAUGUAAAAUUUUCCUCAUUUUUGAGCAAUUUAGCAAAAUUUUUAAAUGUGAUAUAUUUUAUCGCUAAUUUGUUGCAAUAAGUUUCUUUUCAUUCAAAUAAUGCUUUAAAUUAAAAAAAGAAUAAAAAAUGAGAAAAAAAAUUUCAAAAAAUUUUCAACUCGAAAAUUUCAUAAGGCUUACCCCUUACCAUUUUUUUGAGAAAUUUUUCAAAAAAUUUUAAAUUGAUUUAUUUUAAUGCCAAUUGGUUGCAAUGAGUUUCUUUUCACUCAAAUAAUGCUUGAAACAAAAAAAAGAGUAAAAAAUAAUAAAAAAUGUGAAAAAUCUAUAAUUUUGAAAAUUUCAUAAGGCUCAUUUUUGCCCCAAGUUUUGCCUAUAACUCGGUCGGUAUCCAACGGAUCGCCAAUCUUUAACUUGUGGUCGAUAGAUGGCACCAAUGGCUACAUUUUCUUCUUGGACGGCCAAGCCCUCAGAUGUCUGUGUCAGAAGUUAUUCGAGGAACCAAGUUCCUUACUCUGUUUGAGAAAAUGUAAAAUUUUCCUCAUUUUUGCACCAACUUUUGCCUAUAACUCGAUCUACAUCCAACGGAUCGCCAAUCUUUAACCUGUGGUCGAUAGAUGGCACCAAUGGCUACAUUUCCUUCGUGGACGGCCAUGCCCUCAGAUGUCUGUGCCAAAAGUUAUGCGAGGAACCAAGUUGCUUACCCUGUUUAAGAAAAUGUAAAAUUUUCCUCAUUUUUCUGCAAUUCAGCAAAAUUUUUAAAUGUGAUAUUUUUUAUUGCGAAUUUGUUGCAAUAAGUUUCUUUUCACUCAAAUAAUGCUUUAAAUUAAAAAAAGAAUAAAAAAUGAGAAAAAAAAUUUCAAAAAAUUUUCAACUCGAAAAUUUCAUAAGGGGUACCCCUUGCCAUUUUUUUGAGAAAUUUUUCAAAAAAAUUUAAAUUGAUUUAUUUUAAUGCCAAUUGGUUGCAAUGAGUUUCUUUUCACUCAAAUAAUGCUUGAAACAAAAAAAAAAGAGUAAAAAAUAAUAAAAAAUGUGAAAAAUCUAUAAAUUUGAAAAUUUCAUAAGGCUGAUUUUUGCCCCAAGUUUUGCCUAUAACUCGGUCGGUAUCCAACGGAUCGCCAAUCUUUAACUUGUGGUCGAUAGAUGGCACCAAUGGCUACAUUUUCUUCUUGGACGGCCAUGCCCUCAGAUGUCUGUGCCAAAAGUUAUGCGAGGAAUCAAGUUGCUUACCCUGUUUAAGAAAAUGUAAAAUUUUCCUCAUUUUUCUGCAAUUCAGCAAAAUUUUUAAAUGUGAUAUUUUUUAUUGCGAAUUUGUUGCAAUAAGUUUCUUUUCACUCAAAUAAUGCUUUAAAUUAAAAAAAGAAUAAAAAAUGAGAAAAAAAAUUUCAAAAAAUUUUCAACUCGAAAAUUUCAUAAGGGGUACCCCUUGCCAUUUUUUUGAGAAAUUUUGCAAAAAAAUUUAAAUUGAUAUAUUUUAAUGCCAAUUGGUUGCAAUGAGUUUCUUUUCACUCAAAUAAUGCUUGAAACAAAAAAAAAGAGUAAAAAAUAAUAAAAAAUGUGAAAAAUCUAUAAAUUUGAAAAUUUCAUAAGGCUCAUUUUUGCCCCAAGUUUUGC